AACCGCCAUCGUUGGAGGGUAGGAGGAGCUUUCGACACAAACAGCUGCAAUCUCACAGCUCGCAGCCUGGAACUAGAGCCACUCCCUGCAAAGGGUACAGAGCCUGGGCUUGGAAGGGAGCGGACAAGGAGGACUGACCAUGCUGGGGUUUCAGCGUGCCUUCAGGUUGCUCCAUGCAACAAUGAGGAAUCAGAUUGUUCCCAGAGGGAACUAUAUGUCCAAACCACCAGAGGAAAUACUCACUCCAGCUGACCAAGCCAUUGGACUAAUUGUGAUGUUCUCGGUCUUCCUGAUUCCAUCAGGCUGGAUUCUAGCACACAUUCAGGACUACAAAGCCCACCAGAAUGAGUGAAGGACAGGGAGGAGGAACCUUUUCCAAGCCCAGAGCCAAAGGAUGGGAAUGAAGACUAUUGAACAGAUCCUUUCACAGGAAGCUGCUCUUUUAUAAUUAAAGCAUUAUGAAAAAAACCCA